rnacentral:rRNA from 1 species
CUGAACCAGCCAAGUAGCGUGAAGGAUGACUGCCCUAUAAAUUGUAAACAACUUUUAUAUGGGUUUAAAGUUGUCCACGUGUGGAAAAUUGUAUGUACCAUAUGGGUAAGGAUCGGCUAACUCCGUGCCAGCAGCCGCGGUAAUACGGAGGAUCCGAGCGUUAUCCGGAUUUAUUGGGUUUAAAGGGAGCGUAGGCGGAUUGUUAAGUCAGUUGUGAAAGUUUGCGG